GCUCUUAUGGUGUAAUGGUUAGCACUCUGGACUCUGAAUCCAGCGAUCCGGGUUCAAAUCCCGGGUAGGACCU
rfam:Phytophthora infestans T30-4 supercont1.1 genomic scaffold, whole genome shotgun sequence.